UAGAGUUUGAWUCAUGGCUCAGGAUGAACGCUGGCGGCGUGCCUAAUACAUGCAAGUCGAGCGAACAGACGAGGAGCUUGCUCCUCUGACGUUAGCGGCGGACGGGUGAGUAACACGUGGAUAACCUACCUAUAAGACUGGGAUAACUUCGGGAAACCGGAGCUAAUACCGGAUAAUAUAUUGAACCGCAUGGUUCAAUAGUGAAAGACGGUUUUGCUGUCACUUAUAGAUGGAUCCGCGCCGCAUUAGCUAGUUGGUAAGGUAACGGCUUACCAAGGCAACGAUGCGUAGCCGACCUGAGAGGGUGAUCGGCCACACUGGAACUGAGACACGGUCCAGACUCCUACGGGAGGCAGCAGUAGGGAAUCUUCCGCAAUGGGCGAAAGCCUGACGGAGCAACGCCGCGUGAGUGAUGAAGGUCUUCGGAUCGUAAAACUCUGUUAUUAGGGAAGAACAAAUGUGUAAGUAACUAUGCACGUCUUGACGGUACCUAAUCAGAAAGCCACGGCUAACUACGUGCCAGCAGCCGCGGUAAUACGUAGGUGGCAAGCGUUAUCCGGAAUUAUUGGGCGUAAAGCGCGCGUAGGCGGUUUUUUAAGUCUGAUGUGAAAGCCCACGGCUCAACCGUGGAGGGUCAUUGGAAACUGGAAAACUUGAGUGCAGAAGAGGAAAGUGGAAUUCCAUGUGUAGCGGUGAAAUGCGCAGAGAUAUGGAGGAACACCAGUGGCGAAGGCGACUUUCUGGUCUGUAACUGACGCUGAUGUGCGAAAGCGUGGGGAUCAAACAGGAUUAGAUACCCUGGUAGUCCACGCCGUAAACGAUGAGUGCUAAGUGUUAGGGGGUUUCCGCCCCUUAGUGCUGCAGCUAACGCAUUAAGCACUCCGGCCG
rnacentral:rRNA from 1 species